GAAGAGCCUGAGGGUGAGAGAGAGAGAGAGAGAGAGAGAGAGCCUGCCCAGGGACAACCAAUGAGGAAGCAGCAUAGCAGCAUAGCCGGGACUGACCCUCUGCCAGCCUGACCUCAGAGCCUGCCCUCCACUCCCUGAAUAUCCCCAGCCAGGACACUGCUCAUGACUCCAGGUCACAGAUGAACCAGGUGAUUCAGGACCCAGGUGUGCGAUGCAGACAUUUGGACUGAAGGGGGACAAACCCUGCCACUUCUUCCCGGGGCUUGGGCCUUCUCCUGGGCCCUGGGCCUCAGCCCAAGCACACAGGCUCCCUUUCAACAGGGGCAGCCCACCCGACAGUUGGUCAGGUAACGUGGACG
rnacentral:lncRNA from 1 species